rnacentral:rRNA from 1 species
UUAAGCGACUAAGCGUACACGGUGGAUGCCCUGGCAGUCAGAGGCGAUGAAGGACGUGCUAAUCUGCGAAAAGCGUCGGUAAGGUGAUAUGAACCGUUAUAACCGGCGAUGUCCGAAUGGGGAAACCCAGUGCAAUUCGUUGCACUAUCGUUAACUGAAUACAUAGGUUAACGAGGCGAACCGGGGGAACUGAAACAUCUAAGUACCCCGAGGAAAAGAAAUCAACCGAGAUUCCCCCAGUAGCGGCGAGCGAACGGGGAGCAGCCCAGAGUCUGAAUCAGCUUGUGUGUUAGUGGAACGGUCUGGAAAGUCCGACGGUACAGGGUGAUAGUCCCGUACACCAAAAUGCACAGGCUGUGAACUCGAAGAGUAGGGCGGGACACGUGGUAUCCUGUCUGAAUAUGGGGGGACCAUCCUCCAAGGCUAAAUACUCCUGACUGACCGAUAGUGAACCAGUACCGUGAGGGAAAGGCGAAAAGAACCCCGGCGAGGGGAGUGAAAAAGAACCUGAAACCGUGUACGUACAAGCAGUGGGAGCACCUUCGGGUGUGACUGCGUACCUUUUGUAUAAUGGGUCAGCGACUUAUAUUCUGUAGCAAGGUUAACCGUAUAGGGGAGCCGCAGGGAAACCGAGUCUUAACUGGGCGUUAAGUUGCAGGGUAUAGACCCGAAACCCGGUGAUCUAGCCAUGGGCAGGUUGAAGGUUGGGUAACACUAACUGGAGGACCGAACCGACUAAUGUUGAAAAAUUAGCGGAUGACUUGUGGCUGGGGGUGAAAGGCCAAUCAAACCGGGAGAUAGCUGGUUCUCCCCGAAAGCUAUUUAGGUAGCGCCUCGUGAACUCAUCUUCGGGGGUAGAGCACUGUUUCGGCUAGGGGGUCAUCCCGACUUACCAACCCGAUGCAAACUACGAAUACCGAAGAAUGUUAUCACGGGAGACACACGGCGGGUGCUAACGUCCGUCGUGAAGAGGGAAACAACCCAGACCGCCAGCUAAGGUCCCAAAGUCAUGGUUAAGUGGGAAACGAUGUGGGAAGGCACAGACAGCCAGGAUGUUGGCUUAGAAGCAGCCAUCAUUUAAAGAAAGCGUAAUAGCUCACUGGUCGAGUCGGCCUGCGCGGAAGAUGUAACGGGGCUAAACCAUGCACCGAAGCUGCGGCAGCGACACUAUGUGUUGUUGGGUAGGGGAGCGUUCUGUAAGCCUGCGAAGGUGUGCUGUGAGGCAUGCUGGAGGUAUCAGAAGUGCGAAUGCUGACAUAAGUAACGAUAAAGCGGGUGAAAAGCCCGCUCGCCGGAAGACCAAGGGUUCCUGUCCAACGUUAAUCGGGGCAGGGUGAGUCGACCCCUAAGGCGAGGCCGAAAGGCGUAGUCGAUGGGAAACAGGUUAAUAUUCCUGUACUUGGUGUUACUGCGAAGGGGGGACGGAGAAGGCUAUGUUAGCCGGGCGACGGUUGUCCCGGUUUAAGCAUGUAGGCUGGUUAUCCAGGCAAAUCCGGAUAAUCAAGGCUGAGGUGUGAUGACGAGGCACUACGGUGCUGAAGUAACAAAUGCCCUGCUUCCAGGAAAAGCCUCUAAGCAUCAGGUAACAUCAAAUCGUACCCCAAACCGACACAGGUGGUCAGGUAGAGAAUACCAAGGCGCUUGAGAGAACUCGGGUGAAGGAACUAGGCAAAAUGGUGCCGUAACUUCGGGAGAAGGCACGCUGGUGUGUAGGUGAAGUCCCUGCGGAUGGAGCUGAGACCAGUCGAAGAUACCAGCUGGCUGCAACUGUUUAUUAAAAACACAGCACUGUGCAAACACGAAAGUGGACGUAUACGGUGUGACGCCUGCCCGGUGCCGGAAGGUUAAUUGAUGGGGUUAUCCGUAAGGAGAAGCUCUUGAUCGAAGCCCCGGUAAACGGCGGCCGUAACUAUAACGGUCCUAAGGUAGCGAAAUUCCUUGUCGGGUAAGUUCCGACCUGCACGAAUGGCGUAAUGAUGGCCAGGCUGUCUCCACCCGAGACUCAGUGAAAUUGAACUCGCUGUGAAGAUGCAGUGUACCCGCGGCAAGACGGAAAGACCCCGUGAACCUUUACUAUAGCUUGACACUGAACAUUGAGCCUUGAUGUGUAGGAUAGGUGGGAGGCUUUGAAGCGUGGACGCCAGUCUGCGUGGAGCCAACCUUGAAAUACCACCCUUUAAUGUUUGAUGUUCUAACGUUGGCCCCUGACCGGGGUUGCGGACAGUGUCUGGUGGGUAGUUUGACUGGGGCGGUCUCCUCCCAAAGCGUAACGGAGGAGCACGAAGGUUAGCUAAUCCUGGUCGGACAUCAGGAGGUUAGUGCAAUGGCAUAAGCUAGCUUGACUGCGAGCGUGACGGCGCGAGCAGGUGCGAAAGCAGGUCAUAGUGAUCCGGUGGUUCUGAAUGGAAGGGCCAUCGCUCAACGGAUAAAAGGUACUCCGGGGAUAACAGGCUGAUACCGCCCAAGAGUUCAUAUCGACGGCGGUGUUUGGCACCUCGAUGUCGGCUCAUCACAUCCUGGGGCUGAAGUAGGUCCCAAGGGUAUGGCUGUUCGCCAUUUAAAGUGGUACGCGAGCUGGGUUUAGAACGUCGUGAGACAGUUCGGUCCCUAUCUGCCGUGGGCGCUGGAGAAUUGAGGGGGGCUGCUCCUAGUACGAGAGGACCGGAGUGGACGCAUCACUGGUGUUCGGGUUGUCAUGCCAAUGGCACUGCCCGGUAGCUAAAUGCGGAAGAGAUAAGUGCUGAAAGCAUCUAAGCACGAAACUUGCCCCGAGAUGAGUUCUCCCUGAGACUAUAAGUCUCCUGAAGGAACGUUGAAGACGACGACGUUGAUAGGCCGGGUGUGUAAGCGCAGCGAUGCGUUGAGCUAACCGGUACUAAUGAACCGUGAGGCUUAACCU